rnacentral:misc_RNA from 1 species
UCAAGAGUGUAUGACCCCACUAGUAAAAUAGUGGGGUUAACCUCCCGUCCUUUGCUGGUCUACCCCCCCUUUUUUUAUUGGGGGGGAAGGCAAUUUUAUUUCUGCUUCGGUGGGGUUUACCCACCGGAACACCCUCAAAAAUUCUUUUAAGAUCGUUCAGUCCGAGUUUUUAUAUGAAUUUAUGAA